GUUCCAAUGUGGUGUAGUGGUUUGAGUGUUAGACUAUGACUCUGGGGAUCAGAGUUCAAUUCUCUGCUUGACCA